UACGUAGGGCGCAAGCGUUGUCCGGAAUUAUUGGGCGUAAAGAGCUCGUAGGCGGUUUGUCGCGUCUGCUGUGAAAACCUAAGGCUCAACCUUGGGCUUGCAGUGGGUACGGGCAAACUAGAGUGCGGUAGGGGAGAUUGGAAUUCCUGGUGUAGCGGUGGAAUGCGCAGAUAUCAGGAGGAACACCGAUGGCGAAGGCAGAUCUCUGGGCCGUAACUGACGCUGAGGAGCGAAAGCAUGGGGAGCGAACAGG
rnacentral:rRNA from 1 species